ACGGGAGGCAGCAGUGGGGAAUAUUGCACAAUGGGGGAAACCCUGAUGCAGCAACGCCGCGUGAAGGAUGACGGUUUUCGGAUUGUAAACUUCUGUUCUCGUUGACGAAGACAGUGACGGUAAACGAGGAGCAAGCCACGGCUAACUACGUGCCAGCAGCCGCGGUGAUACGUAGGUGGCAAGCGUUGUCCGGAAUUACUGGGUGUAAAGGGAGCGCAGGCGGGAGAGCAAGUCAGCUGUGAAAACCACGGGCUUAACCUGUGGACUGCAGUUGAAACUGUUCUUCUUGAGUGAAGUAGAGGUAAGCGGAAUUCCGAGUGUAGCGGUGAAAUGCGUAGAGAUUCGGAGGAACACCAGUGGCGAAGGCGGCUUACUGGGCUUUAACUGACGCUGAGGCUCGAAAGUGUGGGGAGCAAACAGGAUUAGAUACCCUGGUA
rnacentral:rRNA from 1 species